UAAAAAUUGAAAAACUGUGUAUUUAAUUUUCAAGUACUUUGUCUUCCUUUAAAAAAUAAUUUACGAGACAUUGCCAUAUGGUCUAUAAUGAGUAAGUUUUUGUCAUCUUACUAUCUUGUAUAUGAGCCAAUCUUAGGGCUCAGGCAAGUUCUAGGCAUAUGUCCAGCUCAAACUGACACCUCAGUUUGAAAAAAGUUCUUUCUUAUCCCAGAUGACCUCCAUGUUAUUUUGAAAUCUUCCUCUGUAAAGCUAAUUAUCUAUUUUUAACUCUCUUUAAAAUUUACACGAAUUGUUGCUUGAAAUGUUCAACUUAUAUGUAAAAGAUUUUACCCAGGGAUUUGAAAAUGUUUUAAGUUUUAUUAGUCAUAGCAACAAACUUAGAAGCUGGUGUGUUUAUAAUAUAUUUAUCCAUAAUAACUCAGAAUUAACACAUACCUUUAAAAUAAUAGUGUGCAAUAAUAGCACAUUUUCCACAGCAAAAUCUCUCACUAUUUGUACCAUAAUCGGUAACCAUGUUAAUUUUUCUCUUAGUUAUCAGAAAAGAAAAUAGCUAGCAAGGGACAUACAAGGCAAAUGUGUUAACUGUGAAAAUUCUAAAGUUGGACCAAGUGGUGUCCACUCAUCUUAAGUAAUAAGCAAAUAAAAACAUAAAACAUGCUAUCCUACUAGAUCUACCAAGAAUCUCCAUCUUGACUGCAAGACAAUAAGCCCUGAAGAGAACCUCAACAAAUAACUGUGCCCUGACUGAAAAAAGAGUGAAGCACAAGGUGGAGGUGAAGUGAGAGAAAGCUGCCCAGUGGCCUUCUCUUCUGACUUCCCUUCCUCUUCCUACAUCAGAGAGAUGGGGGAGACUGACCAGAUGUAACUAAUCACUGAACUUCAGCGGGGUAAUUAAAACACAUUGCUGCUACUUCUGAACAGAAGCUUGACCAUGAUUUCACAAAGCAGACAAGUCAGCAACCUGAUCUUCUCCCACAGGAUGUGGAUGCUACCCAUUUUCACUUAGAGGGAUAAAUAUAAGCCCCUGUUUAUGAUAUGACAGGGCUAACAUCAUCACCACCUCAGAGCAAGAGAAAGUAAUGAAAUGCACAGAAAAGUGACACCAACUCACUGAGAUUUUUAUAUUAUAUUAAAAUUAUAAAUUUUAUAUAGUUUUAAGAUAUUUUCCAUUCUUGUUUACAUUAAUAUAAAUAUGAAUAAGUUUAUUAAGUAUAGAGUCAGAGUUAUCACCGAGCAUCACCACAGUUUAAGCUUUGUUGUAGAGUAAUCCAGAUUGCAGAAGGGUUUCUGCUCCUGUAAAUCAUCUGCUACCUCAUAAUGUGUUCACUUUUCUAAUAAAAGUAGUGAAAUCUUGGAGUUUGAACACAAAGAAUAACAUGAGGACUGAGCUUUUCAUUCACACUAACUUUGGUUUUGCCACAUGUCUCACAAUUCUACAAGCCAAAUGCUACUUUCUGGGUCAUGUAUUCUAUUCCAAAUUUUAGCCUCUACUUCUACUGAUUUUCAUACUGUAUGUAGCAUUAAGUUAAACAGAAUGUUGCAUAAUGCCCUUUAAUUUUCUUAAUGGUAGAAUACAUGUAAGUAUUAAGUAUCUUAAAAUGGACACAGAGUCCCUGAGACACAUAAGGAUUUCAACAAC
ensembl:lncRNA